CAGAAUUAUAUAGCACUAUGAAAUGUAAGUUACAUAAGAAAAUUUGGAAGCUACAACAUGUAAAGGGGAUAUAAGUAUUCAUUCGUAAUAGAAUGGUCCGAGAAAAACUGAGAAAAUGCAAUUUAUAACAACAUGGCCAAGGAAAAAUAUUGUACAUCAACGUAACUACUUUAGCCAUUCUCUAUGGGCAGCAUAGCAUCGCUAGAAAUCAAAGCACAGAUAGGCGAGGAAGCUUGUCAAAUGUAAAGCGUCAUGAUGUGACAGUAGAGAAUCCUAACGGUUUUGCCUUCAGUAUUCAGCAAUGUAAUUUGCUUUGAUAUUCAAUAAAAUGCGUCACAAGUUAUUUCCAUAUGAAAAAAUAGGUUCAAGACUUAUGGUGAAAAAAUAAGGCAAGUUGUCCAAUGCGUUUUCUUCUCCUGAUUCUGAUUUUGGUUGUUUGAUGGUUCUAAUUUCUACUCCUUCCCGGUGCCUUAUCUAAUCACAUGUUCCUCGAUUUUCUAGUUUGCUUUGGGAAUCCAUGUCCGUCCAUGUUUCUUGAUUCUCUCAUCUCCUUGAUUUUGAUUAUAAUGCUUUGGGAAUCCAUGUCCGUCUAUGUCAAAACUGGAUAAUCAUCUGCUAAAGCAUUUGCAAGGCCUCUGGCAGCGCUUCACCAAUAACAUAAGGUGUGUUUGUGCCCAUCCAUCAUGUAGAAAGAACAACAUAAAUAUUUGAUUAAAAACUGAAGUGUGUAAACAUUAGAUAAGGUUCGGAAACUGGGAAUUAGUACUGUACAUAUCUUCAUGAGAAGAGAAGAUGCAGCAACAACGGACAUACCAAAGUGGUACUUUGAACCAUAUGUCAAUUCGGUAAAGAUGUAGAAACAAUAGACAAACCAAACUGGUAAAUAAACCAUGACCACAGCCAUGCUCACGCUAAAAAUGUGUUCAUCAAACACUAAGUAAUUAUGCCAAAAUAAUACUAUAACUAAAUAGCAGAUCCUGAAGCAGCCCCCUACUCUCAAGCUGUACAAAGUGUCAAUAUGCAAUUAUGCAUACUUUGAGAAGUGCUUAGAACUGUGUCGUGGCAAAGAAGAGUCACAUAGUGCAGAAGUAGUAGUGUGCAUCAAAUUACGUGAAAUAUAAAAUCCUUGCAAACCUAAAAGAAAAAAAUAUUUCUAAGGUGGAAGAACUGUAGAAAGGGCAGUGCAGCAGUGGUUACAAACUGAAAGAGAAAAACAUGUUUCCAUAUCAGCAGACUUAACCACCCAGGAGAAAUAGAUAGUGAGAGAACUCACAUCCUCUAGUCUUGGUCAAUAUAUGAGAUGAGAGUACGGCAUCACUUCCUGUACCAUUAUCACAUCAACUCCUCCAGAUCGAUAAAGCCUUAGAAUUGCACCUGGAAAUGUACGUAAGACUGUAAGAGGCAUGCUAACCUGAUAAAACCAAAAACAAAUGGAAGCUGCAAUAUAACUGCAUAUUUCUACAUCGAGUAGCUAGUUCACACCUGUGCCGCAAGUAAUAAUUAAAUACGGUCCAACAACAACAACAACAACAACAACAACAACAACAAAGCCUUUAGUCCCAAACAAGUUGGGGUAGGCUAGAGGUGAAACCCAUAAGAUCUCGCAACCAACUCAUGGCUCUGGCAUAUGGAUAACAAGCUUCCACGCACCCCUGUCCAUAGCUAGCUCUUUGGUGAUACUCCAAUCCUUCAGGUCGCUCUUAACGGACUCCUCCCAUGUCAAAUUCGGUCUAUCCCGCCCUCUCUUGACAUUCUCCGCACUCUUUAGCCGCCCGCUAUGCACUGGAGCUUCUGGAGGCCUGCGCUGAAUAUGCCCAAACCAUCUCAGACGAUGUUGGACAAGCUUCUCCUCAAUUGGUGCUACCCUAACUCUAUCUCGUAUAUCAUCAUUCCGGACUCGAUCCUUCCUCGUGUGGCCACACAUCCAUCUCAUAAAUUUAUAGCUUCAGACCAUAGCAAAACAGGCUCAUCUUCUCAGAUAAAAGUGUAUUAGUAUAUGAGAGAUGCCACCUGAUAAACAAUGUCCAGCAUAAGCAGUGCAACCACAUAAGCAGAUGUGAAGGCUUUCAUUAUUGCUCCAAUAUCAAGCUGCGUCAGCUGCAACAUACUAUUAACUUUGAGUUAAAGUAUAUACUAUAUAUGGCAAUACUAACUACAGGCCAAAGAGCAUACUAUGUGUUAUAGACCUGAAUCCAACUUAACAUGUAUUAUAUAGAUUGAAUCAUCAACAUCCGCAUUGUAAUUUCGUUGGGAACCUGCAACAAAAUAACUACAAGGCCCCAUCUCACGCACGUCUCCUCCUCUCUUUCUCUUCUGGAGCAGAUCCAUUUAUCUCCCCAUGAUCCAAUCGCACUACCAAAGGUCCUGAUUGUACCACAAUGGGUCAAUUCCUUCUCACUUAUCUCUCAAGUUUCUCACAUCUCUCCUCUGCUUCUUUGAGUCCAAUUGUUUUGGGUGAACAAUACUUCAGUUAACCUCCACAGUACACAACUUGUUUCUAUGGACGCCGGGCCAAUAAUUAAUACCUGUUGUUUCGAUUUAAAAUUAUCCAUUAAGACGAAUAUGCAGAACAGAAUCAUACAGACACAUAUUAACAGAAAACACAUCUAGAUGGAACUUUAUCUGAAUCCUCACGACAAGGACUUCAAUUCAGCCUAGGCAAUCUAACGAGAACUACAUAGAGAUGCCGGUCCAGAUGCCAGGAACUUGGAGGGUAAAACAAGUUGCAGACUAAUUGGCUGCCAAUUGAAGCAGGAGAGUAGGAAUACAAAAAAAGACUGAUCUACAACGCUCGCCAUGGAGGUUCAGGGAUGCGUCUCACCUCUGGGUCGGCUAUGUGGCGAGCAACCCCGACGUAGGCAGGCCGGCACUGCGCUCGCGAUGCAGGGGAGAAGACGGGAACUCGGUCGGCGCCGACGCCAGACCACAUCGCUUCCGCUGGCAGCAUGGCCGAGGACACGGAGACGCGGCAAGCAUCGGCGGGCGCGGAGGAGAGGGAGGAGGGCGAGAUCGAGGACGACGACUCCUCGUCGUGCAGUUGACUCCGGUGUGGUUCGCUGUGAUGACGCCGUCAGCACGGAGGAACCAGAGACGAGAACUCAGAUCCAAUCGCCCGUGAAGACGUCGUGUGAUUUAGUUUAGAAUAAAAUCGUGGGUAGUUGGGAAGGGUGUUUAGCGGCAAAGGAUAAAUAGACUAUUUUUGGGUGGAAACACAAAAUAUUGGCGCAAACUACAGUAAACCGAAAUUAGGUGGUGCGAAUGUAAU
rnacentral:lncRNA from 1 species